rnacentral:rRNA from 1 species
AUUGAACGCUGGCGGCAUGCUUUACACAUGCAAGUCGAACGGCAGCGCGGGGCAACCUGGCGGCGAGUGGCGAACGGGUGAGUAAUAUAUCGGAACGUACCCAGAAGUGGGGGAUAACGUAGCGAAAGUUACGCUAAUACCGCAUACGGUCUACGGAUGAAAGUAGGGGACCGCAAGGCCUUAUGCUUUUGGAGCGGCCGAUAUCUGAUUAGCUAGUUGGUGAGGUAAAGGCUCACCAAGGCGACGAUCAGUAGCUGGUCUGAGAGGACGACCAGCCACACUGGAACUGAGACACGGUCCAGACUCCUACGGGAGGCAGCAGUGGGGAAUUUUGGACAAUGGGCGCAAGCCUGAUCCAGCAAUGCCGCGUGAGUGAAGAAGGCCUUCGGGUUGUAAAGCUCUUUUGUCAGGGAAGAAACGGUAGAGGCUAAUAUCCUUUGCUAAUGACGGUACCUGAAGAAUAAGCACCGGCUAACUACGUG